UACUAUCGAUAGCAAAUCGUCACUUUUGCCACCUAUUUGUUUUCGAUGAUGGAGCCUCCAAAUCGACGAUUGACACCGUUGAACAUGAUCUAUACCACUUGAAUUAUUUAGAAAUUAAAUUUUAAAUAUUUUCGACAUCAUUUGCCUAAUGAUCAAAGGGUUUCAAAGUUUGUAAUUUUAAUGGUCGAUAUGAGGAGUUUUCUCGUUUAACGGCGUAAAGAUAUCCAAAUCAAUUGAAUUUUUGUUAGAAAAUUCUUUAAACUAUUUAAAAUAAGAUCUAUACUCUUGAUCUUAAUUACAAGACCCCUAUCAUCAUUUUUUUAAGAAUAUUCAUUUUCAGCCGUUCAUUUUUGUGUACACUCGAUGGAUAAGAGAACAAUAUAAAAAAUGUAUGAAAUUUGAUUUCUAAAUACUUCAAAUGGUGUAGAUCAUGUUCAACGGUGCCGAUCAUCAAUUUGGAGGUUCCGUCAUCGAAAACAAAUGGGUGGCAAAAGUGCCGAUUUUCUAUCGAUAGUAUUCUAACUCAUCUCUCUCUCUCUCUCUCUCUCUCUCUCUCUCUCUCUCUAUAUAUAUAUAUAUAUAUAUUAGCUUUAAAUGAUA
rnacentral:lncRNA from 1 species